AUUGAACGCUGGCGGCAGGCCUAACACAUGCAAGUCGAGCGGAUGAAGGGAGCUUGCUCCUGGAUUCAGCGGCGGACGGGUGAGUAAUGCCUAGGAAUCUGCCUGGUAGUGGGGGAUAACGUCCGGAAACGGGCGCUAAUACCGCAUACGUCCUGAGGGAGAAAGUGGGGGAUCUUCGGACCUCACGCUAUCAGAUGAGCCUAGGUCGGAUUAGCUAGUUGGUGGGGUAAAGGCCUACCAAGGCGACGAUCCGUAACUGGUCUGAGAGGAUGAUCAGUCAAAAUGGAAAUGAGACACGGUCCAGACUUCUAAGGGAGGCAGGAGGUGGGAAUAUUGGACAAUGGGCGAAAGCCUGAACCAGCCAAGCCGCGUGGUUGAAGAAGGUCCUCGGAUUGUAAAGCAAUUUAAGGUGGGAGGAAGGGCAGUAAGUUAAUAACUUGCUGUUUUGACGUUACCAACAGAAUAAGCACCGGCUAACUUCGUG
rnacentral:rRNA from 1 species